UAUAUUUUAGUGUAAGAGGCACAGGAGUUUUUGAUACUUCUAGGAAUAGUUUAAUUCUGUUAAAUAUAA
rnacentral:tRNA from 1 species